AGAGUUUGAUCAUGGCUCAGAGCGAACGCUGGCGGCAUGCUUAACACAUGCAAGUCUGACGGGCCGGGCAACCGGUCAGUGGCGGACGGGUGAGUAACGCGUAGGAACGUAUCCACGGCUGGGGGAUAACGCCUGGAAACGGGCGCUAAUACCGCAUGGGUCCUGAGGGACAAAGCCGCGAGGCGGCUGUGGAGCGGCCUGCGUCCGAUUAGGUAGUUGGUGGGGUAAAGGCCUACCAAGCCUACGAUCGGUAGCUGGUCUGAGAGGACGACCAGCCACACUGGGACUGAGACACGGCCCAGACUCCUACGGGAGGCAGCAGUGGGGAAUAUUGGGCAAUGGGCGAAAGCCUGACCCAGCAAUGCCGCGUGGGUGAAGAAGGUCUUCGGAUUGUAAAGCCCUUUCGGCGGGGACGAUGAUGACGGUACCCGCAGAAGAAGCCCCGGCUAACUUCGUGCCAGCAGCCGCGGUAAUACGAAGGGGGCUAGCGUUGCUCGGAAUUACUGGGCGUAAAGGGCGCGUAGGCGGCGCACCAAGUCAGGCGUGAAAUUCCUGGGCUCAACCUGGGGGCUGCGCUUGAGACUGGUGUGCUUGAGGAUGGAAGAGGCUCGUGGAAUUCCCAGUGUAGAGGUGAAAUUCGUAGAUAUUGGGAAGAACACCGGUGGCGAAGGCGGCGAGCUGGUCCAUUACUGACGCUGAGGCGCGACAGCGUGGGGAGCAAACAGGAUUAGAUACCCUAGUAGUCC
rnacentral:rRNA from 1 species